GACGAACGCUGGCGGCGUGCUUAACACAUGCAAGUCGAACGGAAAGGCCCUGCUUGCAGGGUACUCGAGUGGCGAACGGGUGAGUAACACGUGGGUGAUCUGCCCUGCACUUCGGGAUAAGCCUGGGAAACUGGGUCUAAUACCGGAUAGGAGCCAUUUUUAGUGUGAUGGUUGGAAAGUUUUUUCGGUGUAGGAUGAGCUCGCGGCCUAUCAGCUUGUUGGUGGGGUAAUGGCCUACCAAGGCGGCGACGGGUAGCCGGCCUGAGAGGGUGGACGGCCAUGGGGGGAGUGAGACAGGGCCCGGCCUCCGACGGGGGGAAGGGGGGGGGAUUGUUGCACAAGGGGGGCAAGCCUUGGCCAGGGCCCCCGGGGGGGGGAGGAGGCCCUGGGGUUUGUAACCUCUUUUCCCGAGGGAAGAAGUUUUUUGGGGGGCGCCCUAAAAAGAAGGACCGGCCAACCCCGGUC
rnacentral:rRNA from 1 species